GAAGGAAGCACAGAGAGGUGAUAGAAGGAGGAACUGAAUAUAAACUCUGGUCUUAUCUACAUUAAGUGCAGCUUCUCUUUGUUCUGCAUUUAUUGUCAAUGCAAAGUCGAACACUUUGAGAUUAGAUGCAGAUCAGCGUGCAGGGCUGGACGUGAGGAUGGGGCACUCUUUGCUCUGUUUGCUGGGGUUAUUCUUGCUCAGUACAGUCAUCCAUGGAAACACUGAAGAAUCGUAGGGAAUCUUCUUACUACCUGGCCUCAGAUAUUCACUGGUGAGACAAUCAUCUCUAAGAUAUGAGAUACAAGGAGGUGAAGGCAAAGGGUUUGAAAUACUAAUGGGCACCACCCAACACAAACAACCUUCAAACAUCAGGUGAAUACAGGAUCAUCUGACUCCAUCCAUCUUCAUCCCUAUCAUCCUCUUCUGUCACACCAACCCUCUGUAUGUCCUUCUUC